rnacentral:rRNA from 1 species
ACUCAAAGGAAUAGACGGGGGCCCGCACAAGCGGAGGAACAUGUGGUUUAAUUCGAUGAUACGCGAGGAACCUUACCCGGGAUUGAAAUGUACCUGAUGUGAUGUGAGAGCAUCAUUCCAGCGAUGGCAGGUAUGUAGGUGCUGCAUGGUUGUCGUCAGCUCGUGCCGUGAGGUGUCGGCUUAAGUGCCAUAACGAGCGCAACCCUGACUGUCAGUUGCUAACAGGUUAAGCUGAGGACUCUGGCGGGACUGCCGGCGUAAGCUGUGAGGAAGGUUGGGAUGACGUCAAAUCAGCACGGCCCUUACAUCCGGGGCGACACACGUGUUACAAUGGCAUGGACAAAGGGUUGCUACCCGGUGACGGGAUGCUAAUCUCUAAACCAUGUCUCAGUUCGGAUCGGAGUCUGCAACUCGACUUCGUGAAGCUGGAUUCGCUAGUAAUCGCGCAUCAGCCAUGGCGCGGUGAAUACGUUCCCGGGCCUUGUACACACCGCCCGU